AGAGGAGCAGAGAGGGAGAUGGAGAAUGAGGACAGAACAGAGAUGGAACAAGAGCAGUUCAGGGUCACAGUGGGGCUGGAGAACACCAUGGAUGGGUGGACAGUGUGACGCAGAGCUAACAAAGAGACACAGGUAGCCGUUCACACUCAUGGCUAAUAUAGAACCACCACACCCUGCAGAGUUUGAGACCCACGCUGGCAAAUUCUGCCCUCUUCAGGAGACGGCCAGAUGCUGACAACGGUAACAUCUGUGGUUAAAUACUUUCUAAAGUUAGUUAUGUUCACAUUUACAAGCUUCUGUGUGUCUUAUUAGUGGUUUGUUAGAACCCCCC